rnacentral:rRNA from 1 species
GACGAACGCUGGCGGCGUGCUUAACACAUGCAAGUCGAACGGAAAGGCCCUGCUUUUGUGGGGUGCUCGAGUGGCGAACGGGUGAGUAACACGAGAUUAACCCGCCCUUGACUUUGGGAUAACGUCAGGAAACUGGGGCUAAUACCGGAUAGCUGCUCGCGCUGCAUGGUGGGGGUUGGAAAUUUUCGGGGGUGGGGGAUGGACUCCCGGCUUAUCGUCUGGUUGGUGGGGUAGUGCCUUACCAAGGCUUGGACGGGUAGCCGGCCUGGUGGGGGGACCGGCACAAUGGGACUGGGGCUACGGCCCAGCCUCCUACGGGGGGAAGCGGUGGGGAAUAUUGGACAUGGGGCGGAGGCCUGCUGCAGCAACGCCGCGUGCGGGAGGACGGCCUUCGGGUGGUAACCCGCUUUCGCCUGUGACGAAGCGUGGGUGAGGGAAAUGGAGAAAGAGGCACGGGCUAACUACGU